AACGAACGCUGGCGGCAUGCCUAACACAUGCAAGUCGAACGAGACCUUCGGGUCUAGUGGCGCACGGGUGCGUAACGCGUGGGAAUCUGCCCUUGGGUUCGGAAUAACAGUUGGAAACGACUGCUAAUACCGGAUGAUGACGUAAGUCCAAAGAUUUAUCGCCCAGGGAUGAGCCCGCGUAGGAUUAGCUAGUUGGUGGGGUAAAGGCCUACCAAGGCGACGAUCCUUAGCUGGUCUGAGAGGAUGAUCAGCCACACUGGGACUGAGACACGGCCCAGACUGCUACGGGAGGCAGCAGUGAGGAAUAUUGGACAAUGGGCGAAAGCCUGAUCCAGCAGUGCCGCGUGAGUGAUGAAGGCCGUAGGGUUGUAGAGCUCUUUUACCCGGGAUGAUGAGGACAGGACCGAGAGAAUAAGCCCCGGCUAACUCCGUG
rnacentral:rRNA from 1 species